AGAAGUUGGCAAGCCAACUUUCUGCCUUCUCCUGUCCUACAUCCAGGCCUAUGAGAUUGCCUGGAGGAAAAAGACAGCAGCAAAUCCAUGUUUCUGCAAUUCUAUCUUCUCCUACCUGAGCCAGAGUCCCAGGAUCCACUCUCUCUGCUCAGCUAUCUAGACCUUAGAGGUACUGACCCUACUCUCUGCUCUUACCUGCCAGUGAGUAUUCCAUUAGUACUUUGGGUUCUCUAUACUUGCCCAUACCUUUGUAAAUAGUGUCUUUAUUAAACUUUCCUCAAAUUUCCCGAUUUCAGGCAUGUCAUCUCUUUCCCACCAGGACCAGGACCUGUAUAAGGUAAUUUAACACUACCAACAACUCAGGCCCUCCUGAGUCUCAUGAUGGUGUCUCUUGUUCUGCUAACAUUUUAGCUCUACCUAUCAAUCCCCUUUAGACAGUGGCUGAGUGUGAUGCUUAAGGAGAUGGGCUCCAGAACCAGACCAGGAGGUCUGUGCCACCAACCAGCAGUGUGACCUCGGGAAAUUUCCCAAACCUCUCUGUCUCAGUCUUCUCCUCUAUAAGUGGUGGAUAAGAUGCUUCCCUACCUCAAAGUCUAAUGGAGAUGAAAUGGCUUAAAACAUGUGAAGCACUUAGAAUAGUGCCUGGUGCACAUUAAACCAUAAAUGCUGGU